rnacentral:rRNA from 1 species
GGGUUGUGAGGUUAAGCGACUAAGCGUACACGGUGGAUGCCCUGGCAGUCAGAGGCGAUGAAGGGCGUGCUAAUCUGCGAUAAGCGCCGGUAAGGUGAUAUGAACCGUUAUAACCGGCGAUACCCGAAUGGGGAAACCCAGUGUGACUCGUCACACUAUCAUUAACUGAAUCCAUAGGUUAAUGAGGCGAACCGGGGGAACUGAAACAUCUAAGUACCCCGAGGAAAAGAAAUCAACCGAGAUUCCCCCAGUAGCGGCGAGCGAACGGGGAGGAGCCCAGAGCCUGAAUCAGCAUGUGUGUUAGUGGAAGCGUCUGGAAAGGCGCGCGAUACAGGGUGACAGCCCCGUACACAAAAGCGCAUGUGCUGUGAGCUCGAUGAGUAGGGCGGGACACGUGGUAUCCUGUCUGAAUAUGGGGGGACCAUCCUCCAAGGCUAAAUACUCCUGACUGACCGAUAGUGAACCAGUACCGUGAGGGAAAGGCGAAAAGAACCCCGGCGAGGGGAGUGAAAAAGAACCUGAAACCGUGUACGUACAAGCAGUGGGAGCACAGGUUUACCUGUGUGACUGCGUACCUUUUGUAUAAUGGGUCAGCGACUUAUAUUCUGUAGCAAGGUUAACCGUAUAGGGGAGCCGUAGGGAAACCGAGUCUUAACCGGGCGUUAAGUUGCAGGGUAUAGACCCGAAACCCGGUGAUCUAGCCAUGGGCAGGUUGAAGGUUGGGUAACACUAACUGGAGGACCGAACCGACUAAUGUUGAAAAAUUAGCGGAUGACCUGUGGCUGGGGGUGAAAGGCCAAUCAAACCGGGAGAUAGCUGGUUCUCCCCGAAAGCUAUUUAGGUAGCGCCUCGUGAAUUCAUCUCCGGGGGUAGAGCACUGUUUCGGCUAGGGGGCCAUCCCGGCUUACCAACCCGAUGCAAACUGCGAAUACCGGAGAAUGUUAUCACGGGAGACACACGGCGGGUGCUAACGUCCGUCGUGAAGAGGGAAACAACCCAGACCGCCAGCUAAGGUCCCAAAGUCAUGGUUAAGUGGGAAACGAUGUGGGAAGGCCCAGACAGCCAGGAUGUUGGCUUAGAAGCAGCCAUCAUUUAAAGAAAGCGUAAUAGCUCACUGGUCGAGUCGGCCUGCGCGGAAGAUGUAACGGGGCUAAACCAUGCACCGAAGCUGCGGCAGCGAACGUAUCACUUAAAGCGAUUCAGCGGGUUACGAUUGACGGAGCGAAGCGACGUCAAAGCGUAUACAAAGUCGAGUCGGUUUAAGGAUACGUUCGUUGGGUAGGGGAGCGUUCUGUAAGCCUGUGAAGGUGGCCUGUGAGGGUUGCUGGAGGUAUCAGAAGUGCGAAUGCUGACAUAAGUAACGAUAAAGCGGGUGAAAAGCCCGCUCGCCGGAAGACCAAGGGUUCCUGUCCAACGUUAAUCGGGGCAGGGUGAGUCGACCCCUAAGGCGAGGCCGAAAGGCGUAGUCGAUGGGAAACAGGUUAAUAUUCCUGUACUUGGUGUUACUGCGAAGGGGGGACGGAGAAGGCUAUGUUGGCCGGGCGACGGUUGUCCCGGUUUAAGCGUGUAGGCUGGUUUUCCAGGCAAAUCCGGAAAAUCAAGGCUGAGGCGUGAUGACGAGGCACUACGGUGCUGAAGCAACAAAUGCCCUGCUUCCAGGAAAAGCCUCUAAGCAUCAGGUAACAUCAAAUCGUACCCCAAACCGACACAGGUGGUCAGGUAGAGAAUACCAAGGCGCUUGAGAGAACUCGGGUGAAGGAACUAGGCAAAAUGGUGCCGUAACUUCGGGAGAAGGCACGCUGACACGUAGGUGAAGUGAUUUACUCACGGAGCUGAAGUCAGUCGAAGAUACCAGCUGGCUGCAACUGUUUAUUAAAAACACAGCACUGUGCAAACACGAAAGUGGACGUAUACGGUGUGACGCCUGCCCGGUGCCGGAAGGUUAAUUGAUGGGGUCAGCGCAAGCGAAGCUCCUGAUCGAAGCCCCGGUAAACGGCGGCCGUAACUAUAACGGUCCUAAGGUAGCGAAAUUCCUUGUCGGGUAAGUUCCGACCUGCACGAAUGGCGUAAUGAUGGCCAGGCUGUCUCCACCCGAGACUCAGUGAAAUUGAACUCGCUGUGAAGAUGCAGUGUACCCGCGGCAAGACGGAAAGACCCCGUGAACCUUUACUAUAGCUUGACACUGAACAUUGAGCCUUGAUGUGUAGGAUAGGUGGGAGGCUUUGAAGCGUGGACGCCAGUCUGCGUGGAGCCGACCUUGAAAUACCACCCUUUAAUGUUUGAUGUUCUAACGUGGACCCGUAAUCCGGGUUGCGGACAGUGUCUGGUGGGUAGUUUGACUGGGGCGGUCUCCUCCUAAAGAGUAACGGAGGAGCACGAAGGUUGGCUAAUCCUGGUCGGACAUCAGGAGGUUAGUGCAAUGGCAUAAGCCAGCUUGACUGCGAGCGUGACGGCGCGAGCAGGUGCGAAAGCAGGUCAUAGUGAUCCGGUGGUUCUGAAUGGAAGGGCCAUCGCUCAACGGAUAAAAGGUACUCCGGGGAUAACAGGCUGAUACCGCCCAAGAGUUCAUAUCGACGGCGGUGUUUGGCACCUCGAUGUCGGCUCAUCACAUCCUGGGGCUGAAGUAGGUCCCAAGGGUAUGGCUGUUCGCCAUUUAAAGUGGUACGCGAGCUGGGUUUAGAACGUCGUGAGACAGUUCGGUCCCUAUCUGCCGUGGGCGCUGGAGAACUGAGGGGGGCUGCUCCUAGUACGAGAGGACCGGAGUGGACGCAUCACUGGUGUUCGGGUUGUCAUGCCAAUGGCACUGCCCGGUAGCUAAAUGCGGAAGAGAUAAGUGCUGAAAGCAUCUAAGCACGAAACUUGCCCCGAGAUGAGUUCUCCCUGAGACUUAGAGUCUCCUGAAGGAACGUUGAAGACGACGACGUUGAUAGGCCGGGUGUGUAAGCGCAGCGAUGCGUUGAGCUAACCGGUACUAAUGAACCGUGAGGCUUAACCUUACAACGCCGAAG